GCUUACUGGGUCCUGAAUCGGCUGCGUGCUGUUCUAGGUGGGGACUUGAGAGACUGUAGAUGGGUCUAGGGAGUGGUCGAAUAUAAAUAAGCUAGAUUUUUUUUUUUUUAAUUGCAAGGGAACUCCCUAGGAAUUCCAUCCAUGGCCUUGUGGAACGAUCUGCCAAAGAAAAAAUAUUUAUCUCUCCUCGCUGUGUCACCCAGGCUGGAGUGAAGAGGUGCGAUCUCGGCUCACUGCAACCUCCGCCUCCUGGAUUCAAGCAUCAGCCUCCCUAGAAGCUGGGAUUAUGGGUGCCGGCCAUCACACCUGGCUAUUAUUUGUACUUUUAGUAGAGAUGGGGUUUCGCCAUGUUGGCCAGGCUGGUCUCGAACACCUGACCUCAAGUGACGCACCUGCCUUGGCCUCCCAAAGUGCUGGGAUUACAGGCACGGGCCAUCGUGCCCGGCCUUGCUUAAAUACCUUCUACCCCUAAACUCUAUUAGGUGUGGCAAACGGGGGUGGGCACUGGUGAGUGUGUUUAUGGAACUGCUGCCUGAAGAAAAGCUCAGGUGGGUCUGGGCUCGGCUCCUGUUCAACUCUGUGGGAAUCCUUCACCUUCAUGUCCCCAGCAGGAGCCAGCAGGAGGGUGCAUGUGGAUGGAAGACAACGGAUGCACCUAAAGCCCUCCUUCUCAACCAGCCCUGCAAAUAAAUCGGUCCUAUUCUUCACCUAAA
rnacentral:lncRNA from 1 species